AGCCUCUAUAAGCAUAUGCAAAAGUUGCUGCGUUUGAAAAGCUCAUAGUUGGGUCCGUUCUAGGAUGAAGUUCUUCUACCAUUGGCAUCGACCAUGGUAGGCCUACAUACCUAGCGUCUUUUUGUUGACGGUAUUUGCACUUAAUUGUGUCGAAUGCUCGAGACAGAAAAUUUACCUUGAGUAAAUUGGAGUGUUCAAAGCGAUCGUGAGUUUGAACAAUAAAGCAUGGAAUAAUGGAGGACGACCCGCACACUGCAAGCUGGUGAGCUGGUGAUGCGGUAAUGAUUAAAAGGAACAGUCGGGGGCAUUCGUAUUGCUACGUUAGAGGUGAAAUUCUUGGAUCGUGGCAAGACGAACUACUGCGAAAGCAUUUGCCAAGAAUGUUUUCAUUAAUCAAGAA
rnacentral:rRNA from 1 species